rnacentral:misc_RNA from 1 species
AAGUCGUAACAAGGUUUCCGUAGGUGAACCUGCGGAAGGAUCAUUAACACUUUUUUUUGAUUGACUAUUCUCUGGGGUGAUGAUUGCAAUGAUGUGCUAAGGCGGUCUCAUAUGAGAUCACCUCUUUUUCAUACCAAACCCAAAACAACAUAAAGACAAACAUGCCAAAAUAUCAAUAACGCUGAACAACUCUUAGCAACGGAUAUCUUGGCUCUC